GAGGCCUCUAGAGCCAACAGCCAGGAUGGAAAAGGCAGACUGUGGGAAGGGUCCUUCUGGGCAGAAGGGAAGGUCGUUCAGAUACCCAGAAGUUCUCUGUCAAAAUCUGACUUUGAGGCAAAUCAAAACUCGAUUUUCAGAAGCGAUGGAGACAGGAUCCAGAAGACUGAGGUGAAAUGCUUAACAGUCAGACGGUACAGCACCGCCGCCAUGAAAAAGCCAAAAGCCACAGCCUCCUCAGCCCCGCACCUAGAUGGGCUCACUCUGGACAUGGUCCGACCCCGCGUAUGCGUUGCCCUGAACGUUAUCCCGCUCUUGGCACGGCUUUCCCUGUACAUAGUGACCACCCCACGUUUGGCUCGACCUCAAAGUGGCCCCGUCCUGAGGGCGCCUACCUGGACGUGGCCCGCCCGCGAGCGUGGCUCACCCUGGGGUAAUACCGCCCCUGGGUGUGGCUUUCCCGAGACGAAGCCCGCCCCUGGAUGCAGUCCCCUCCUGGAUGUGACCCGCGAAAGGGUGUGCUUCCCCUGUACGUAGCCACACCCCAGUGCAACUCGCCCUGUGCGUGGCUCCACCCCCAGAGAAGGCGGGUAGGGACCUGCCCUGCGAAAUUCAUUCAUUUACUGCCUCUUCCGUCUAGAAGUUUUUGAACUCUGCUGGCGUGCCAGACUGUAUUGAGGUGGCCCUUCUAUGAGAGGGGAUUAAGAAAUCUGCAUUGAGAUUGCAGCCCAAGAUGACAGAGGAGUAAGAGACCCUACUUUUGUCUGGUUGCAGGAAUUCAGCUAGAUAGCUAUCAAAUCAUUCUAAACACCUGUGAAAUCAAGGGGCGAUUGAUGAAAAGAACACCUGCAACUCUACAAACAGAAAAGUGACCAUGUUCUGCCAGCAAGUUACCAUGCUGGAGAAGCCCAUUUUAUAAGGAGCAAGUCAGCCCCAUCCAAGAGUCAGCAAGGGUACUGAGGAUCUCAUUCCAACAGACUUUGAGGAACUGCAUCCUGCCAGCAACUAUGUCACUGAGUACGGGAGUUGGUCCUUCCCCAGUCAAGCCUCCAGAUGAGAAUGUAGUAGCCUCAGCUGUCACCUCAAAUGCAGCCUUGAAUCAGAGAAUCCAGAAAACCCAGGGGACGACUUUGUCUAGGAGGUCCACACUUGGUAUUCCCAAUCAGAAUUCCUUUGUUCAUUGAGGACAUAGAAAAGGAAGCCCAACAGUCACACCUGUGCUGCCUCAGGUAUCCCGAUGUGAGUGAAAACUGACAGAUUACAAUGCAGGAAUCCCCGUGUUGGCAAGAAGCUGCCGCCAGCUCAAAUAUCUAGACCUCAGCUCUACAGGAAUAAGCAGAAGAGGAGUUUAUUCAUUGGCUAAUUAUUGUCACAUUAGUUUGGAACAUGUGAAACUCAAUCUCUGUAAGAAUGUCACCCUGGAUGUGGUUCAAAAACUGUGAAAACUGUAGAUGGUAAGAGAAUAUUGAUUUUUGUCCACUUGUUUCUCUUUCAGUCCUAAAUGUCAUCACAAAAUGAAAACUUGAUAUCAGCUAUGCAUUGGUUUAUUAAUGUUUAUAUUAUUAUUAUUUAUAAAUUCUCAGUAUUGUUUCCAUUUUAUCAACACAGAGUUCUAGCCAUCAUUAAAUAUUUCCCAGAAAAUAGCUUCUGGUAACUUCAUUUAAGACCAUACCAAGUUUUCAUGACUUCUCAUAUAGCACAAAAAUCAUAUUAGUUCCUUUGUACUUUGAAACUCAUUGAGAGUUCAGGAAAAAAUACUUGAGGCAUAUUAGAUACUUUUCAGUUAUGUUGGCCUCUGUCCUUGGGAUACCCUUUACCUGAAUGAUAGACAAGCCAGGGAAAGAAAAACAUUCGAGGAGUUUUUGGAGUUGAAACUACCAUUUCAGAUGUCCCAUAUUUCAAAAAUUAUUUGAUUAACCCUAGUCUCCUCAUGUGAAAUCUGAACUUCUUGGAGGAAAUCUGAGAUUUUUGUAAUGAGUUAAUCUUCCAGGAAAUAGAGGAAUCCAUAGAACAAAUACUUCUGUAUGGAACCCCAGAACUUUUUAGGUUUCAAAAUGAACAAAAUAAUGGAACAGUUUGAGGAAAUUCAGUUUGCUGAUUGUCUAUGUCUUAUAAAAAUUAACUAAUAAUUUGUUUACUACUAAAAAAUAUGAGAACUUAGAAGACAUAAUGGAAUUUACAUUAUUUUCCAAAAUCCUAAAUAUAUGGCAUUCCUCCACAAAUGUUGAAUAACCAGUGUUAGAACAACUAGAAAAACAGUAGAAAUAGUGAAGUUAAUUCUCUAACUCAUAACUGACCCAAACCAAAUUCCAGACAGAAUAGAACUUGAAAAGUAAAAGCAUGGAUUAAAAAAAAGGGGGGGGGCUUUCCUGUGCCUUGUUUAUUUGAGCUGACAUAAUUCAUACUAAGUAAUAUCUUUGUGAACAGGUCACAAUGAAAUUGUGGAAACUUUGGUAGGAACAGAAGGAUCCAACUCUUCCAUGAAGGCUGGGAAAUGGUAUGGUUAGACAGAAGAGGGGAAAAUUAAGUUUAAUAUUCACAUUUUGUGAUGAUAAUAAAGAGCUAUUAUGUUAAUUACAUAAUCCAGAUCUUUCCCUUGACAAAUUGUGACAACCAAUAAGGUCUCCAAAC